AACGAACGCUGGCGGCGUGCCUAACACAUGCAAGUCGGUGCGAGAAAGUUCCUUCGGGAGCGAGUAAAGCGGCGCACGGGUGAGUAACACGUAGGUAACCUGCCCCCCAGUCUGGAACAACUAGAGGAAACUCUAGCUAAUGCCGGAUGAGACCACGAUCCCUUCGGGGGUUGCGGCCAAAGAUGGCCUCUACUUGUAAGCUAUCGCUGAGGGAUGGGCCUGCGGGCCAUUAGCUUGUUGGUGAGGUAACGGCUCACCAAGGCUGUGAUGGCUAGCUGGUCUGAGAGGAUGACCAGCCACACUGGGACUGAGACACGGCCCAGACUCCUACGGGAGGCAGCAGUGGGGAAUAUUGCGCAAUGGGCGAAAGCCUGACGCAGCGACGCCGCGUGGGUGAUGAAGGCC
rnacentral:rRNA from 1 species